UACGGGGGGGGCAAGCGUUGUUCGGAAUUACUGGGCGUAAAGGGCUCGUAGGCGGCCCUCUCAGUCGGAUGUGAAAUCCCCAGGCUUAACCUGGGAACGGCAUCCGAUACUGGAGGGCUUGAAUUCGGGAGAGGGAUGCAGAAUUCCAGGUGUAGCAGUGAAAUGCGUAGAUAUCUGGAGGAAUACCGGUGGCGAAGGCGGCAUCCUGGACCGAGAUUGACGCUGAGGAGCGAAAGCUAGGGGAGCAAACGGG
rnacentral:rRNA from 1 species